AUACGGAGGGUGCGAGCGUUAAUCGGAAUUACUGGGCGUAAAGCGUACGUAGGCGGUUUGCUAAGUCAGAUGUGAAAGCCCCGGGCUUAACCUGGGAACUGCAUUUGAUACUGGCAGACUAGAGUAUGAUAGAGGGGGGUAGAAUUCCUGGUGUAGCGGUGAAAUGCGUAGAUAUCAGGAGGAAUACCAGUGGCGAAGGCGGCCCCCUGGAUCAAUACUGACGCUCAGGUACGAAAGCGUGGGGAGCGAACAGGAUUAGAAACCCCGUAGUCC
rnacentral:rRNA from 1 species